GGCGAACGGGUGAGUAACACGUGAGUAAUCUGCCCUCCACUUUGGGAUAACUGCCGGAAACGGUAGCUAAUACCGGAUAUGACUGUGCCCUGCAUGGGGUGUGGUGGAAAGUUUUUUUCGGUGGGGGAUGUGCUCGCGGCCUAUCAGCUUGUUGGUGGGGUAAUGGCCUACCAAGGCUUUGACGGGUAGCCGGCCUGAGAGGGUGACCGGCCACACUGGGACUGAGACACGGCCCAGACUCCUACGGGAGGCAGCAGUGGGGAAUAUUGGACAAUGGGCGGAAGCCUGAUCCAGCAACGCCGCGUGAGGGAUGACGGCCUUCGGGUUGUAAACCUCUUUCGCUACCGACGAAGGCUCAUCUUUUUGGGUGGGUUGACGGUAGGUGGAGAAGAAGCCCGGCCAACUACGUGCCAGCAGCCGCGG
rnacentral:rRNA from 1 species